rnacentral:rRNA from 1 species
UGCAUAGGAAUCUACCUAGUAGUAUAGGAUAGCCACUAGAAGUGGUGGGUAAUACUGUAUAAUCCCUGCGGGGGAAAGAUUUAUCGCUACAUGAUGAGCCUAUGUUAGAUUAGCUAGUUGGUGGGGUAAUGGCCUACCAAGGCAGUGAUCUAUAGCUGGUCUGAGAGGAUGAUCAGCCACACUGGAACUGAGACACGGUCCAGACUCCUACGGGAGGCAGCAGUGGGGAAUAUUGGACAAUGGGCGCAAGCCUGAUCCAGCUAUGCCGCGUGAGUGAGGAAGGCCUUAGGGUUGUAAAACUCUUUCAGUGGGGAAGAUAAUGACGGUACCCACAGAAGAAGUCCCGGCAAACUCCGUGCCAGCAGCCGCGGUAAUACGGAGGGGGCAAGCGUUGUUCGGAAUUAUUGGGCGUAAAGGGCAUGUAGGUGGUUUGGUUAGUUAAAGGUGAAAUGCCAGGGCUUAACCCUGGAGCUGCUUUUAAUACUGCCAGACUGGAGUCCGGGAG